CAGCACAUAUACUUUUUUUAAAAAAAUGGAACAAUAUAGAGAAGAUUAGCAUGGCCCCUUGCACAAGCAUGACACACAAAUUCGUGAAGUGUUCCAAAAUAAA